CAGGGAGACUGCUGCUACCUGCCUUGGAAUUCUGGCGCAAUCAGAUGCCAAUUUACGAUGCGGAUCAUAAACUUAUUGGAAUACAGGAAGCCGAACGACCUGGAGGGAGUGGAUCCAAGCCUCAUAGAAGGCGAAGACAAUAGAGUUAAAUCGCAGUAGGAAAGGAUGCGAAGUGCUUUUGUUGAUAGUAUGUAAAAGUUAGUAGC